rnacentral:rRNA from 1 species
UACGGGGGGUGCAAGCGUUGUCCGGAAUCAUUGGGCGUAAAGCGUUCGUAGGCGGUAAAGUAAGUCAGAUGUUAAAGCCCGGGGCUCAACUCCGGUUCGGCAUUUGAUACUACUUAACUGGAAUGCGGUAGAGGUAAAGGGAAUUCCUGGUGUAGCGGUGAAAUGCGUAGAUAUCAGGAGGAACAUCGGUGGCGAAAGCGCUUUACUGGGCCGUUAUUGACGCUGAGGAACGAAAGCUAGGGUAGCAA